rnacentral:rRNA from 1 species
UACGUAGGGUGCAAGCGUUGUUCGGAAUCAUUGGGCGUAAAGCGCGUGUAGGCGGUUAAUUAAGUCGAUUGUGAAAUCCCUGGGCUCAACCGAGGAAGUGCAGUCGAAACUAAUUAGCUAGAGGACGGCAGAGGAAGGUGGAAUUCCAAGUGUAGAGGUGAAAUUCGUAGAUAUUUGGAGGAAUACCGGUGGCGAAGGCGGCCUUCUGGACCGACACUGACGCUGAGGAGCGAAAGCCAGGGGAGCAAACGGG